rnacentral:lncRNA from 1 species
UAUGUAGACAAGGCUAAGGAUUAUCUUCACCAAUACCACUCUUCUCAUUCCACUGCCCAGACCGACACCUCUGGCCACUCAGCCCAAGGUGGUCAUGAUUCAUCAUCAGUUCCAUCUGGAGGUGGUGGUGAUGAAAAGUCUGGAGGUGGCUAUGGAGACUACCUGAAGACGGCUCAAGGUUUCUUGAACAAGUAGUGACUCUUAUCUAAUAGACUCUAGUAUUGUUGAUGAGCUAGGACAAAUAAAUAAUCUGUUCUGUAUGUUUCCUUUUAAUUGUGUCUUUUGUUCUUAUAAACUACAAAUUUGUGUAUUAAUGUGUCAACUUUCCAGAUUGGGCUUGCUUGCUAAAGCUAGCCAUAUCUGUAUAUGUGCGUGCUUAUUGUUAACUAAUGUCAUAUUGUAAUGUUUGGAUCAUUUAACUACUAUAAUCUGCUUCUCUAAAUAAUGAUUUUAUAGAUGUGUGUGUGUGACACUUUAGCUAUAGAAGGUAUUUCUACUGGUUGUGCAUGUAUGUAUGUAUACACACACACACACACACACACCCCUCUCAUAUAUUGAUAUACAUCACGAUCUAUCUCAAGUGCAUUAACUUUCUCCUUGUUUCCUGUAUUGUGGGAAUCUUGUAGAUAUUGAUUCUGAUUUGUAUUCUAAAAUUCUUUUGUGAUUGGAUGGAAUUUCAUUUUAGUGGACCUCGGGCCUCGCGUGUUGGCUUGGUUAGCAGGAAAUAUAAUUAUUAGGAAUAUUUACAAUUUUCAUGGCUCCAAAAUGUCUAAUAACAUUUGGCGACCGAGAUUUCACAGCCAACAUUUCUGUGAACAGACAGGCAAUAUUAAGUCCAGACCCUGUGAGAAAUUAAAACCAGGAAACAUAUCCAAUGCUAAAAAGAAAUCGGUUCCCCGUAGAUUAUGAAACUUUAACCACCUAUAUGAUGUAUACGUCGGUUGCACGGUCAAUGAGUCAAUAGAUCUAUUGAGUUAUACAGCAUCAUUUUUUAUCUUUCUUCUUUUCUUUUGCAUAUAAUUGAGCAAAAAUGAAUUCAUUUUUCACAAGCCAAACAAACAACGUGACAAUCAUCACGUGCACAAUGAACAAUAUUCUUCCCAUGAUGGCAAGUCCAACAUGCACCACAACGAGCACUCUUAUUUCUUCCUAUGGUGAGAUCCAUAUAAGCACCGCAACGAACAUUCUUCCUGUGGAGACUAGCCCUACAAGCACCAAAAUGUAAAUUCUUCCUACAGUGAGCCGUUCAGGAAUCACAAUGUUGAAUGUUCUUCCUAUGGUGACAAGCCCUGCAAGGGCCAUAAUGAACAAUAUCCUUCCUGUAAUGACAAGCCCCCCAAGCCCCAUCAAUAUUCUGAGUAUGACAAAUCAGGCAAACCUGCCAAAAACCAUCAACCAUCCAAUGCUGAGCUCCUUUCUAGCGCCAAAUUGGUUGCUGACGCAGCGAAAGACACGUUGAACAGUGAUCAUGACAAGGUAGACAAGACUAAGGUUGCCCAUGCCGCCGGAGAUCUUCUUAAAGCCGGGUCUCGUUACGGAAAGUGAAGAUGAGACGGGCUAUGGCAAGUUUUUAGGAAGGCUGAGGAUUAUUUGCACAAAUUACAAUAAUAAGCUACUUUCCAAGGAUACCUAUUCGAGCUCUCAUUCUGGCCACUCAGGUCACGGCGAUAAACCCAGCUCUUCAUGAUGAUCAUUAUGGCCACUCUGGCAGCUCUAAGACAAAUCCUAGUGGUGGUCAUAAGGAUUCUGGUGGCGUGUAUGAAGAUUACUUGAAGAUAGCUGAAGGUUUAAUUAGGAAGCAUUGAGUCUUUGAUAUUGUCAUAUAGACUGAUAUUGGAUCAUUCAUCAAGGCUCAAGCGAUGCGCUUGGUUGUUCUUUAUGUAUGAUUAUGUUUGAUAUUUUACUUUUGACAGUUGUUUUUUAUGUAAAGAAGUCAAAGAUACGCAUUCCUUUAAUUAGAAAUAAUAACUGGAUCAUUUAUAUUUUUAUAAAUCUGAUGGAAAUUACAAUCUGAGCAUUUACAGAAUCCUAAAGAAAUAUUUACAUUGGUGAAGUGAUGAUAUUCAGAAGCAGGAACAUGUGGUGGCAGGAAUUUUCCCCGUCGUUCUGAUUUUAUUAGCCUUUUCUUUUGCCUUAAACUCUGCUUUUCUUCGCUUCUCCUGUGCCUGUGCUCUUGCUCCUCCUGCUAUCCGAUCAAUAGAUUCCAUGUCACUGCGAAAUUUUUGCAAGGCUUUUACCCGUCUUUUCUCCAAUUCACCCUGCAUCUCCAAGAAGACAUGGGAGAGAUAUCGCUUAUCAGUUCCUAAGAAUCAGUUUUAAUUAGGACUCACUCGAGGCAACAAGAAACUUACCUCUGCUCUGUCCAAUUUUCUUCUGGCUUUCUUCUUCUUCCUCUCCUCCCAGGAAAGUAUUGUCUCAUUUAACUUCUCAUACCUGACAAUUCUAUCUGUUACUACUUCUAAGUGCUUGCGCAAAUUGCAAAGAACAUGUUGAAGCAAAUGUUUCAGUUACCUCUCCUUGAUCCUGGCCAUCUCAGCCUUCUCCCAGGCAUCUGCUUGAGUUUCAGUUGUUGGAGGCCUUGCUGGAAUCUGUCUUUUUGUUUCAGUUGGUGGGGUAGCAGGCUUAAUGGGGGGAGGAAUAUCAGGUUUUGAUUUUGUCCCUCCGGGGCUUCUCGGGGGCAGAUCAAUUUUCUGCCUAUCUCCUUCAGGUUUUUUGCUGCUGGUUCUGUUCGAGACUUCAUCAGCAAAAGUUGGAGCUUUUUUCAUUGAUGAUGGACUGGGAUCAGUGACCUUGCUUGGUGAUCUUUUAGGUUUUGUACCGUCAGGGCUCUUCUUCAAUAGCUCAUCCCGAAAUGUUGGAGUCUUUUUAAUUGGUGAUGGAUCAAUGGCUUUUUCAGGAGCCCCUUCAUCUUUAGCAGCAGUUACUGGCACUUCCCUAUCCGGACUUGCCAAACUUGUCGUUGCAAUGUCUUCUGUUACAAACAAUUCCAUUAUGUUUGUACUUUCAUUUGACGUAUUUUAAAGUUGUUUCACAAGUUCAGAAUAUUUACCUGAGAACCUUUUUGAUAUUCUACCAGGUUCUGUAAUUGGUAUUGGUGUAUCGUCUUUUUUGCUCUUUUGCCUUCUCAAAGAUGCAUCGGGGCCAUCACUGUUCUUUUUCUGUUCUGACAUAUUUGAGAUUAAUGCAUCUUCCUUUUGGCUUUUGACCCUGCUCAUAGAGGGCUGGGGAGCAACUACACUGGUCUUUCUUUGACCUGGGAUGCGCGAUUCUUCUAUUGAUUUGUUAAUGGCAUAGGCAGCAGCUGCCACCGCAGUUGCAUGGUCCAUUUGGGUGUUGGGAUCAAAUUCCCCGCUCAUUUGCCUAGAAAAUUGUCUCCUUAACCAGUUCCGAGUUCUCUUCUCUGCAAAAUACCAAUCAUAUGUCAAAAGUUUUCAAGUAAAAUUUUUUGAUGAUUUCCUGUGGCUAUAUCAAUUCAUUGUGAUGAACCAUUUUAAAGAUA